rnacentral:rRNA from 1 species
UGCAGUCGAACGAGACCUUCGGGUCUAGUGGCGCACGGGUGAGUAACGCGUGGAAACCUACCAUUCUGUACGGAAUAACGAUUGGAAACGAUCGCUAAUACCGUAUACGCCCUGUGGGGGAAAGGUCCGCCGCAGAAUGAGGGGUCCGCGUCCGAUUAGCUUGUUGGUGGGGUAAAAGCCUACCAAGGCGAUGAUCGGUAGCUGGUCUGAGAGGAUGAUCAGCCACACUGGGACUGAGACACGGCCCAGACUCCUACGGGAGGCAGCAGUGGGGAAUAUUGGACAAUGGGGGCAACCCUGAUCCAGCAAUGCCGCGUGUGUGAAGAAGGCCUUAGGGUUGUAAAGCACUUUCAAUGGUGAAGAUGAUGACGGUAGCCGUAGAAGAAGCCCCGGCUAACUUCGUGCCAGCAGCCGCGGUAAUACGAAGGGGGCGAGCGUUGUUCGGAAUUACUGGGCGUAAAGGGCGCGCAGGCGGCCAAUCCAGUCAGUGUGAAAGCCCCGGGCUUAACCUGGGAACUGCACUUGAUACUGAUUGGCUAGAAAACCGAAGAGGCAGUGGAAUUCCCAGUGUAGAAGUGAAAUUCGUAGAUUUGG